UACAGAGGUCUCAAGCGUUGUCCGGAAUCAUUGGGCGUAAAGCGCGUGUAGGCGGCUCGGUAAGUCCGCUCUGAAAGCCCGGGGCUCAACCCCGGGAGGCGGGUGGAUACUGCUGAGCUCGAGUCCGGAAGAGGAGUGUGGAAUUCCUGGUGUAGCGGUGAAAUGCGCAGAUAUCAGGAGGAACACCAAUGGCGAAGGCAGCACUCUGGGACGGUACUGACGCUGAGACGCGAAAGCGUGGGGAGCAAACAGG
rnacentral:rRNA from 1 species